rnacentral:tRNA from 1 species
GUGGGAGUAGCUCAACUUGGUAGAGCAUCGGACUGUGGCUCCGACGGUUGCGGGUUCAAUUCCCGUCUCCCACCCCA